rnacentral:rRNA from 1 species
UACGGGGGGGGCAAGCGUUGUUCGGAAUUACUGGGCGUAAAGCGCGCGUAGGCGGCUUGACAAGUCAGUGGUGAAAUCCCAAGGCUCAACCUUGGAACUGCCAUUGAAACUGUCAGGCUGGAGUAUCGGAGGGGAGAGCGGAAUUGCUAAUGUAGCGGUGAAAUGCGUAGAUAUUAGCAGGAACACCGGUGGCGAAGGCGGCUCUCUGGACGAUAACUGACGCUGAGGCGCGAAAGCGUGGGGAGCGAACAGG